UAUCUCUCCGUACGGGGAAGGAUGAGAAGCUUCGACUAAGGUUCGAUUCGAGCGCAGCGAGAAAGCGUUGCCGCAGGCAACGACCCGAAGGGCGAAGCGCGCAGCGCUGAGUAA
rnacentral:sRNA from 1 species